GGGAAUAACAUUGCGAAAGCGAUGCUAAUACCGUAUAAGCUCACGAUUUGACUAGUUGUGGGAAAAGAUGGCCUAGUCUAUGCUAUCGCUUGAAGAUGAGUCCGCGUACCAUUAGCUAGUUGGUAGGGUAAUGGCCUACCAAGGCUACGAUGGUUAGCUGGCCUGAGAGGGCGGCCAGCCACACUGGAACUGAGACACGGUCCAGACUCCUACGGGAGGCAGCAGUGGGGAAUAUUGCGCAAUGGGGGAAACCCUGACGCAGCGACGCCGUGUGAGUGAUGAAGGUUUUCGGAUCGUAAAGCUCUGUCGGGUGGAAAGAAUAAAGGCUGUGUAAAUAAUGCAGUCUGAUGACGGUACCACCAAAGGAAGCACCGGCUAAUUCCGUGCCAGCAGCCGCGGUAAUACGUAGGGUGCAAGCGUUAAUCGGAAUUACUGGGCGUAAAGCGUGCGCAGGCGGUUAUGCAAGACAGAUGUGAAAUCCCCGGGCUCAACCUGGGAACUGCAUUUGUGACUGCAUGACUUGAGUACGGUAGAGGGGGAUGGAAUUCCGCGUGUAGCAGUGAAAUGCGUAGAUAUGCGGAGGAACACCGAUGGCGAAGGCAAUCCCCUGGACCUGUACUGACGCUCAUGCACGAAAGCGUGGGGAGCAAACAGGAUUAGAU
rnacentral:rRNA from 1 species